UGUAGAGAUGAGCGACUGGGACUGGGACUACGUUGAGCGCAACUGGGUGACACAGCUCUGAGAUUUCUGUGAAGAGCUACCGGGUUAGCUACCGAUAUAGCUCCUCUGC